rnacentral:rRNA from 1 species
AAUUCGAGCUCGGUACCCGGGGAUCCUCUAGAGAUUAGAGUUUGAUCCUGGCUCAGGAUGAACGCUAGCGGCAGGCCUAACACAUGCAAGUCGAGGGGUAGAGUUCUUCGGGACUUGAGACCGGCGCACGGGUGCGUAACGCGUAUGCAAUCUACCUUAUACAGGGGAAUAGCCCAGAGAAAUUUGGAUUAAUGCCCCAUAGUGUUAUAGAAUCGCAUGGUUUUAUAACUAAAGUUCCAACGGUAUAAGAUGAGCAUGCGUCCCAUUAGUUAGUUGGUAAGGUAACGGCUUACCAAGACAAUGAUGGGUAGGGGUCCUGAGAGGGAGAUCCCCCACACUGGUACUGAGACACGGACCAGACUCCUACGGGAGGCAGCAGUGAGGAAUAUUGGUCAAUGGGCGCAAGCCUGAACCAGCCAUGCCGCGUGCAGGAAGACGGUCCUAUGGAUUGUAAACUGCUUUUAUACAGGAAGAAACCUCCCUACGUGUAGGGACUUGACGGUACUGUAGGAAUAAGGAUCGGCUAACUCCGUGCCAGCAGCCGCGGUAAUACGGAGGAUCCAAGCGUUAUCCGGAAUCAUUGGGUUUAAAGGGUCCGUAGGCGGCCUUAUAAGUCAGUGGUGAAAUCUCCUAGCUCAACUAGGAAACUGCCAUUGAUACUGUAAGGCUUGAAUUUUUGUGAAGUAACUAGAAUAUGUAGUGUAGCGGUGAAAUGCUUAGAUAUUACAUGGAAUACCAAUUGCGAAGGCAGGUUACUAACAAACGAUUGACGCUGAUGGACGAAAGCGUGGGGAGCGAACAGGAUUAGAUACCCUGGUAGUCCACGCCGUAAACGAUGGAUACUAGCUGUUCGGAGCAAUCUGAGUGGCUAAGCGAAAGUGAUAAGUAUCCCACCUGGGGAGUACGCACGCAAGUGUGAAACUCAAAGGAAUUGACGGAAUCGUCGACCUGCAGGCAUGCAAGCUGCACGCGAGGCC